CGGGCUUCUGCCCUCCGCCCCCCGCCGGCCCUAGCCGCGGCCCUGGCCCUCGGUCCGUCCCGUCCCGUCCCGCCCCGGGGAGUGCGGGCUGCCCAACGCCUCCUUCUCCUAUCCGCAGGCGUUUGCUGUAAUUAUCCAUCAGCCCAACCGACAUCGGUGUAAGUUCUGGGAUUAACACAUAGCCCGAAUCAAGACAAGGGAUAUUUGGGACUGCUGAUUCUUCCUCUCUUCUUUAUGCAAACAUUGCUCUUCCAAGCUACGUGCAGCCAGGCAAAUUAUCAACGAAAGCCCCAGAGCAGCAAAGAUGCAGUACUGGCAGCCUGCUUUCUGGGUUUCUGAAAAACUCACUGGAGCAGAUCCUCCGCUGGCAGAGCUGAGCUUCUAGCAGAGCUUCUUGUCUCAUCUCUUUUGAUCCCCUUUUGCGCUCCGCUAAUUGUGAGGUAAUGAAACAGCUUUGUGCAUUUGGCAAACAAAUUUCUUCACUGCUGACUUCCAGAAUGCUUGUCAGCAGCGCAAAAGGAAGAUAUCUGCAGCCUCUGGGGUAAGGGUGGUAAUCCCACGGGUCCACAGAGGUGGGUUUAGAAGCAGAAGGCAGACAGAGGCACAUUAAAGAAGAACUUCAGUGAGCAAAAUUGCCCAGAUAUUUGCUGGAAACUUCAAGGGUUCCAAACAGUUUAUGUCCUGUGCAAUCCAGAGCAUGGACUGGGACACAACCAAGCGGGCUUCAGCCCCAGCAUUGGUGUGGAUAUGGAGGUGGCAGUGUGGGCGGUGGGACGGGCAGCUGGCUUGUGGCAGUUGUCUGAAAGCUGGCUUCCACACAAGCUGCAGUCUCAUCUCUGGAUGCAAGUGAGAACACAGCAGCUUUCAUGAACUACAGUAACGUUCCCUUUACUUACACACAUAAAAGUAUGACUGCUAUAUUGAAGGAGUUUCUGAACAGUUAUUCUAAUGGUUUUCAUCACAGCAUUGAGGAAAUUGUUUGAAACCUGCAAGAGGUGCAAGAAUUACGUGUACGUAUGAAGCCUAAGCACCUAUUUCAGAUCAAGAUGAAUAGAAAACUGAUGUUAAUCACUUAACGCUUUUGAGUUGAAGCGUACGGUUCUGUUGGAGGCUAGCAGCUGCAGCAGAGAGAAACAGGAUGAAAGAGAGCCAGGUAUUGCCUUCUGGCCACAUAACACUCCUGUGAGCACCUGGUAACCACCCCCUUCCCUGCAGAUUGUCCUCCUUCAGCAUCAGUGUAGGCACAGGUGGUAGAAGCACAGGCAGCUGCAUCACAUAAAAUGCAUUUCAUGCUCAUUUUGAGCCAGAACUCUGAGAAAGAAGGCAAUGUGGAACAGAUAAUAAUUCAUAAGAUAAUAAUUCAUUUGCUGAACUUUGUCUCUUCUUCUGGUGAUCAGUGUUUGCAAACAGUUUCUUAAUGUGUUUGUUAAUUACUUGCAUUUAUAUGCUUACCUCCAUUUGUGUGCUCCCACCAAAACCAAAAGAAAGAUUCUCAUUGUUUUAAUAACGAAGUGGUUCGGGCCAUGUUCGUGAGGCUUGUACAUACAUUCAAGAAGAAAAACUGUCGAAAGAAACUGAAAAGUAAAACGUUAAAGUGAAGCGAUCGGUGGAAUGUUAGUGUAGUCUGGGUUCCUGUGCCCACCUGGUAGACUCAUUUAAGCAGAGAUGAAAGAAAAGGCGGCUGUGUCACACAGUGUCUGCACAUGGACACACAGCAUGCAAGGUUUUUCAGACAGCAGUGGAGCUGGCAUUUCUUGUUCUUCGAGUUGUUUGUGUCUGAAACCACGUCUUUUCCAUGCUGUUCUGAUCACAGAAACCCUGAUGUUUUGAUGUAGGACCCAAAUACCUGGCACUGCUGCUGUUGUGCUCCACUGGAUGCUCCUCCUUCCCAUGGCUUACAGCUCUAUCCCGACUCUCCUCUUGCCUUCCUAAAGCGCUUUCCUGCAGCAUCUCCUUUCAGUCUUUUUUGUCUUUUUCUACCAGGGAAGAAAGAUCCAAAAAGUGUGUCUCUGUAGCUGAUCUGGACAAAUUCCGAUUUACUGUAUUGACAAAGAAACUGAAAAGUUAGUUAUUGCCAAAGGCCCAACCCAAACUCCAGUCACGGAUCUAAAAUAACAACUCUGCCUUCAGUGUAUUUCCUGAAGUUCAUUAUAUCAGUCUGUUUAUUCUAAGGUUCUUUCAUUUGGUCUUUUUUCUCUCUUUUUUAUCACCAUCACCCCACCUAAGGCGGCAUGUCUCAGUUACUGCUGCAGCUGCUCCCAGAUCCCAUUUCUCCUCCUUCUCCUCCCAGUGCUCCGUCUGCACAGAGACUCGUUAUCCAACGUGCUGAGAGUGAGUGGUGGUAAAAGCAUGCUGCUCCUCUCUAUUAAAC
ensembl:lncRNA